UGCAAGUCGAGCGGCAGCACGGGUACUUGUACCUGGUGGCGAGCGGCGGACGGGUGAGUAAUGCCUAGGAAUCUGCCUGGUAGUGGGGGAUAACGUUCGGAAACGAACGCUAAUACCGCAUACGUCCUACGGGAGAAAGCAGGGGACCUUCGGGCCUUGCGCUAUCAGAUGAGCCUAGGUCGGAUUAGCUAGUUGGUGAGGUAAUGGCUCACCAAGGCGACGAUCCGUAACUGGUCUGAGAGGAUGAUCAGUCACACUGGAACUGAGACACGGUCCAGACUCCUACGGGAGGCAGCAGUGGGGAAUAUUGGACAAUGGGCGAAAGCCUGAUCCAGCCAUGCCGCGUGUGUGAAGAAGGUCUUCGGAUUGUAAAGCACUUUAAGUUGGGAGGAAGGGCAGUUACCUAAUACGUAAUUGUUUUGACGUUACCGACAGAAUAAGCACCGGCUAACUCUGUGCCAGCAGCCGCGGUAAUACAGAGGGUGCAAGCGUUAAUCGGAAUUACUGGGCGUAAAGCGCGCGUAGGUGGUUCGUUAAGUUGGAUGUGAAAUCCCCGGGCUCAACCUGGGAACUGCAUUCAAAACUGUCGAGCUAGAGUAUGGUAGAGGGUGGUGGAAUUUCCUGUGUAGCGGUGAAAUGCGUAGAUAUAGGAAGGAACACCAGUGGCGAAGGCGACCACCUGGACUGAUACUGACACUGAGGUGCGAAAGCGUGGGGGAGCAAACAGGAUUAGAUACCCUGGUAGUCCACGCCGUAAACGAUGUCAACUAGCCGUUGGGGAGCCUUGAGCUCUUAGUGGCGCAGCUAACGCAUUAAGUUGACCGCCUGGGGAGUACGGCCGCAGGGUUAAAACUCUAAUGAAUUGACGGGGGCUCGCACAAGCGCGUGGAGCAUGUGGUUCAAUUCGAAGCAACGCGAAGAACCUUACCACGGCCUUGACAUCCAUGAACUUUCCCGAGAUGGAUUGUGCCUUCGGUACCAUUGAGACAGGUGCUGCAUGGCUGUCCUCAACUCGUCGCCUGAGAUGUAGGGUUAAGUCCCGUCACAAGCGCAACCCUAGUCUCUAGUUACGAGCACGAA
rnacentral:rRNA from 1 species